GGGGCCCGAUCCUUUCAGAGCCGGGCCGAGGUGAAGGAAAAGAAGGAAGUCCUUUGAGAUACAUUAUCUCACUGAAGCCUCAGCAACUCCGCGGUGUUCCCAGAGGUGAGGAAACACACUGAGAGACAGAACACGACUUGACCAGGGCCACCCUGUGGGGCACGCUGGCACCUGCACAGCCCAGCUUCACCUGGUUCCAGCCCUGCCCGCGCUCUGCUCCCCACUUCCCGUAACCCUGGGCUGGCGUCAGCAGGCAGGCCUGCCAGGAGGCUGGAGCUGCCAACGACCUAUUUUUCUGGGCAAGAAGAGCCAUUUGGAGUUAGAGGUCUCAGCUGUGAAGCCAGAACAAUAAAAAUAAAAACAGCACGGACUCCUGGGCAGCCUGGACCAGGGAACCAACUGCCCCAAGAGUUGCUGCUCACCAGGCUGGAAGGCAAGUGGGGUUGGGGGGAUGGGAGAUGGGAGUGACCUUACCGAGCCCCUGCUAUGUCCUCCGGCCCUUACAGAGUAAGGGUAAUCUCCAAGGUUCACAACAGGCCCUUUGUCUGGGUGGCCAGACCAGUCAGGAUUUGAACUCAGUUUUCCAAACAGUAACAAUUCCCAUCUGUUCAGCAGCUACUAUGCUUUACAGACUUGUGACAUUCAUACCACACCUGGGGGGGUGAGCUAAUCAUUCCCUCAUUCUACAGAUGAGGCAGCUGAGACUUCAGGAGGCCUCUGCUCACACGCCACCUCCUUGAGAGGCCUUGCCAGACCACCCUGUUAAAGUAGUCACCCUCACGCCU
rnacentral:lncRNA from 10 species